AAAAAAACCGCCUUAUUGAAUAGAAUGUUUACAUUUUUUACCGACUAAAAAGCACAUUUUAACCAUUCGGGAGUUAUGCAAACGUGGUGUCUUGUUUCAAUAUGUAUUUUGCUCGGCGUUGUGGUGAGAUGGGGAGUGUCCUUAAAUCCGUAUUCCGGUGCGGGAAAACCACCUUUGUUUGGCGACUAUGAAGCUCAGAGACACUGGCAAGAAAUAACCUACAACCUUCCUGUGCAAGAAUGGUACUGUAACACCACCGACAAUGAGUUGAACUAUUGGGGUCUUGACUACCCUCCUCUAACUGCCUAUCACAGUCUGAUCUGUGCUCAUGUUGCCAAGAUAAUAAACCCUGAAUGGGUGCAGCUUCACAAAUCCAGAGGUUAUGAAAGUACAUCACACAAGUUGUUCAUGAGAACCACAGUGCUGGUUGCAGAUUUACUAAUAUACAUCCCUGCGGUGGUAUUAUAUUGUUUAUGGAUAAACGAUGGCUCCAUUAAGAAAAAGGUUUGUACUCUGCUCUGCUUUCUGAUGUAUCCAGGACUACUUCUAAUUGACUACGGACAUUUCCAGUACAAUGCAGUGAGUCUUGGCUUUGCCCUGUGGGCUGUUCUGGCUCUUGGACUGGGCUGGGAUGCACUGGGCUCAAUGGCUUUCACAAUGGCUCUCAACUACAAACAGAUGGAACUCUACCACGCUCUGCCGUUCUUCUGCUACCUCCUGGGAAAGUGUGUCAAAUUGGGCCUGAGAGGUCGAGGGUUGUUGCUGUUUCUGAAAGUCGCUGCUACAGUGCUGGUGACUUUUGCCCUCUGUUGGCUGCCCUUCUUGUCUGACCCUAGCCAGGCCUUGCAGGUGCUCAGGAGAAUCUUUCCCGUGUCUCGAGGCCUAUUUGAGGAUAAGGUGGCCAACACAUGGUGCAGCUUGAACGUCCUGAUAAAGAUUAGAUCCAUUCUGUCCGGUGACUUUCAACUCUACCUCAGUAUGGCCUGCACUAUUUUAGCAGUCUUACCAUCCUGUAUCCAAGUGUUGAAAAAACCCACCUUCUGGCAAUUUAAAGUGGCUAUGGUCAACUCAUCACUGGCAUUCUUCCUCUUCUCCUUUCACGUCCACGAGAAAUCCAUUCUCUUGGCUUCCUUGCCUGUCUGUCUGUUCCUGAAUGACCUUCCACUAAUGGCCAUUUGGUUCCUACAGGCUUCAACAUUCAGCAUGCUGCCUUUGUUUCUGAAGGACGGUCUUUUCGUGCCCUACGUUGUGACCUCGCUGGCCUUCCUCUUCCUUGGCACCUACCUGCUGUCGGCAUUGGACCACUGCUCAGAAGAAGAGCUUGGGCUGGAAGGUUACCGCAAGCUUUUAUUCUUCCCACCCAACUUGGACCUGGCUUGCAUAGUCAGAUGGAAGUUCUACAUCAGUGUCACAGCCAUGGCGUGUUUGAGCGCUGCCAACGUAACAUUCGACACGCCGCCUCAUCUGCCCGACUUGUUUCCUGUCCUGGUGUCGACGUUUGCUUUCGUGCAUUUCUUGGGAAUGUUUAUCUACUUCAACGUCAUCCAGUUCAACACUUUACCGAGCAGAAAGAGACAGAAGAAGAACAAAUAAUUCCAGCAGGGUCGCGGGGGGUGCUGGAGCCUAUCUCAGCUACAAUCGGACGGAAGGCGGGGUACACCCUGGACAAGUCGCCACCUCAUCACAGGGCCAACACAGAUAGACAGACAACAUUCACACUCACAUUCACACACUAGGGACAAUUUUAGUGUUGCCAAUCAACCUAUCCCCAGGUGCAUGUUUUUGGAGGUGGGAAGAAGCCGGAGUACCCGGAGGGAACCCACGCAGUCUCGAGAACAUGCAAACUCCACACAGAACGAUCCCGAGCCCAUGAUUGAAUUCAGGACCUUCGUAUUGUGAGGCACAUGCACUUAAUUUAUAUAAUUUCUAGGCUUACUUUAUGCCAUAUUUAUGUUUUUAAUUUGCAGCCUUUUGUAUUGCCCACACAAGUGAAUACAGCCUUAAAUGUUGGGCAACAGCCGGGUUAUAAAAUGAUAUCAUUUAAACUGUAUUCUACCACUUUAUAUUGUAAUCUACCAGUUGUUAUUUCCCUGAUUUUUAAAGAGGACUGAGGAAGGAGGGGUCGUCUUAUAUUUGGGUCAAUGCACGACAUAUAUUGUUUGAACAGCAUGAUACUUACUGCAUGUACUUAUAUUAGCACGUCCCACGACUGGCAGAGCUCUUCUGGUCCUAUUAAAACGGUAACAUGUGUCACAACAGCCUUAACUUGACAUUAUACAAACCGAAUGUUUAUCAUAGAAUGAAUAAUUCACACUAUUUAAGCAUAUAGAAUCCCAUGUUCAAAAGUCAACGGUACAUACACUGACAUUACCGCACACAUAACUAUGAAGUCGCGUGAUGAUUACAAUGCAGUGUUUACGAAAUUGUACACGUAAAUGAAGAAGAGAGCACGUAUUGCUAAGUUAUAUCAGCACAUAAGGGUUAAAAGUACUUACGGCAUUUUCGGGUAUACCAAACUGGCGUCUGUUUGACUUGUUUUCUUAUUGACACUACGCCGACAUUGUUCCGCUUGCACAACUAAAUUAAAAAGCUCAGUGUUGUAUUUAACAUCACUACUAACACUAGAUGCCGCCAUUUUCAAAAGACUGAAACGACAAGACACAACUCUACUAUCUAGUGCGGUU